rnacentral:rRNA from 9 species
UCAGGUAGGGAUACCCGCUGAACUUAAGCAUAUCAAUA